CAGUAGCCACGGUAAUACGUAGGUGGCAAGCGUUGUCCGGAAUUAUUGGCGUAAAUGACUCGCAGGCGGUUUCUUAAGUCCGAUGUGAAAGCCCCCGGCUCAACCGGGGAGGGUCAUUGGAAACUGGGAAACUUGAGUGCAGAAGAGGAGAGUGGAAUUCCACGUGUAGCGGUGAAAUGCGUAGAGAUGUGGAGGAACACCAGUGGCGAAGGCGACUCUCUGGUCUGUAACUGACGCUGAGGAGCGAAAGCGUGGGGAGCGAACAGGAUUAGAUACCCGCGUAGUCCCUGUCUCUUAUACA
rnacentral:rRNA from 1 species